rnacentral:rRNA from 1 species
GACGAACGCUGGCGGCGUGCUUAACACAUGCAAGUCGAACGGAAAGGCCCUGCUUUUGUGGGGUGCUCGAGUGGCGAACGGGUGAGUAACACGUGAGUAACCUGCCCUUGACUUUGGGAUAACUUCAGGAAACUGGGGCUAAUACCGGAUAGGAGCUCCUGCUGCAUGGUGGGGGUUGGAAAGUUUCGGCGGUUGGGGAUGGACUCGCGGCUUAUCAGCUUGCUGGUGGGGUAGUGGCUUACCAAGGCUUUGACGGGUAGCCGGCCUGAGAGGGUGACCGGCCACAUUGGGACUGAGAUACGGCCCAGACUCCUACGGGAGGCAGCAGUGGGGAAUAUUGCACAAUGGGCGGAAGCCUGAUGCAGCAACGCCGCGUGCGGGAUGACGGCCUUUGGGUUGUAAACCGCUUUCGCCUGUGACGAAGCGUGAGUGACGGUAAUGGGUAAAGAAGCACCGGCUAACUACGUG